rnacentral:lncRNA from 1 species
UUAGGAGGCAAGAUUUUAUAUACAAAGAGCUUGUGGGGGUGAGCUAAUGAAGUAGAAUUAAGAGUUCAGAGAUAGACAUACACAUCUAUGGCCAAUUGAAUUUUGACAAGGUUUCUGGGUCCAUUUGAUGAAUGUCUUAUAAGUUUACCUCCUUCUCAAUGUAAAGAAUUUCCUUAUGUUUAUUAUUUGUAAAUGAAAACAUCAAAUAAUUUGAUAGGGGAUGAGUUAAAUAGUGGAAAAGAAAAUAGUAAGAGGGCAGAGCUUGUAGGGAGUCCAGAAGGCAGGAAAAUUGAAUCCAUAUCUCAGCCAUUCCCAGGCUGGUGUGCAGCCUUAGGCAAUUCACAUCACGUGCCCAUCAAAGCAAGGCCUGUUUGCUGGAUCUGGAAGUGGGAGAGUGAGCUUCUCUCCAGCGGUUGCUUCCUUUUUAUGAUUCUGCUUUGUAGUGCAUUUUGCUAAUAUUUUCCUUUAUCUAUUGGAUCUUUAUUUUGCUUAUGUUAAAUUCCUGGCCAAUCUGUUACUAGUAAUUCUGCUUUAGUUGAUAGGCCCAAUUCGGCUUGCUGUCUUUCCUUUUCAUUGGUUGUGUUCUCAGCUGUUUUAUUGUUGUAGCCUGCAAGCUCAUUUUCUUAUGGGGAUUUCAGCUGCUUACUUUUUCUAGUAAUGGAUACUUGUGAAGUGCCAAAGGCCAGGCUGUAUUUUGUGUUCCA